rnacentral:lncRNA from 1 species
UGGGUCCGGGUGUGCCUGCUGGUAUGGGUGGUACGGGUGCGGCGGCAUGUAAUUGACCGCCGGAGGCGGACGGGCGUACAUCAUAGGGUGGAAAUUGUCGUUGCCAUUUGGCCGUUGAUGGUUCAUCAUCAUCGCCGCCAUUUGCUGCUGGUAGUAAGGGUUUCCGGCCAUAGCCUGGGGGCCAGCUCCUUGGAAGUAACCACCAGGACCACCGGCGUUCACGGCCGGAAGGCCUUGGACUGCCGGAAGGUUACCCAUUUGACCCAUCUGGCCCAUGGGCAUGUUACCCAUCUGGCCCAUUUGUCCUAUUGGCAUACUCCCCAAAUGGCCCACACUACUACCACCACCACUCAUGCCCAUCAUGUUAGGCAUAACAUGAACUCCAUCAUCCAUUACAACCUUCUUUCCCCCAUUACCAUUAAUGUUGUUACCACCACCACUAUUCUUGUUCUGAACACCACCUCCACCGCCGUUGUUUUUACCAUCUGCCGGCUUGCCACCACCGUUUUUGGGUGCUCCACCGCCUCCCGGAUUUUGACUCCCGCCACCACCUUUCUUUCCUCCAUUAGCAUUCAUCUGAACAGGAAUAUUUCCACCACCGCCGCCGCCGCCGCCGCCUCCACCUUUCUUGACGUUUCCACCUCCAUUUCCUCCAUUAUUACCACCAGGAGGAGGCCCACCUUUCAUGAGAUGUGGUGGAAGUUGGCCAGGCUUCAUCAGCUGUGGAUUAUUCAUGAGAUGUGGUGGAAGUUGGCCAGCAGGCUUCAUCAGCUGUGGAUUAUUCAUGAGAUGUGGUGGAAGUUGGCCAGACUNNNNNNNNNNNNNNNNNNNNNNNNNNNNNNNNNNNNNNNNNNNNNNNNNNNNNNNNNNNNNNNNNNNNNNNNNNNNNNNNNNNNNNNNNNNNNNNNNNNNCUUUUCUUUCUUGUAAAACAUACAUACAUCUCCCUGUGCCCUGUUACAGAUAGAUAGAUACUCUCUCACUCAUAUAUUUUUAUUUUUAGAAUAACAACCAGCCAAAUUAAUAGUCACUCGUGGGUCCUACUUCACCAGUGGUGGGACCAACUAUUUUCGUUUUUCCCUUAUAAAUCAUGACUUUGUGGGGCCUGCCCAUCAUCAUAUCUAUCCAUCUAUCACACUACCUACUACACAUGCAUGGGGUACGAACCAACGACUGUAAUUUAUUUGUACAUCUAGUAAAUGUCAAACAACAAGACCACAUGACCAGGCCUCGUUUGUGGCAGGCAGGCAGCUAAUUACUAAUAGAAGACUUGUAACAAUUUAUUCUUAAAAAUAAAUUAAUUUAGAAAUUCUAAAUAGAAUAAACUCUCAAAGUACAAAUGAUUUUUUUUUUAAUUUUAAUUAUAUUAAAUUGAUAAAUGAGUAAUUUCUUAUUCACAAACUUCCAAAUAUAGAAAUAGAAGGUUUGAAUGAUGGAAAAGAAGGAAACUUUAGGAGAGAAAUGGGGGGCUUUUUCUUUACAAAACCCCCUUCUCUUUCAUAUUAUUAUUUCUGUUUGCAGCUUUCUUAUAAACUUCUCGCUUAGAAAGAAAAGCCCACCAUCAUCAUCCCCACACUUAAAUUCUCAUUCUCACCCUAAAGCUAAAGCUUUUGAUAUAUAUAUAUAUAUAAUCUACUACUAUAACAUCAUAAGGUACUUCCUAUGAUAAUUAAAAACAAAGAAAAAAAAACUAAAUAUCUUAUAGGAUGAAGAGAAUGAAAAUUUAAAGGGGUAACUAAAGCUAAAGUCAAAAAAUAAAAUAUAAUAAAAACCCAUUUCCAUGUAUAAUAUGGCAUCAUCAUGACUAGCAAGUCAUUUAAAAUUGUAACUGAAGCUUCAAAGCACCACCACCAGAAAAUCAGUAAACUUUAGGGCAUUAAGCGGAACUUUGGGGAUGAAUUCACAUAAUGCUGCAGCUUGAUGUGUUCUCAUCAUUAAAGAAACUGGUGUAUGGGUCCGGGUGUGCCUGCUGGUAUGGGUAGUACGGGUGCGGCGGCAUGUAAUUGACCGCCGGAGGUGGACGGGCGUACAUCAUAGGGUGGAAAUUGUCGUUGCCAUUUGGCCGUUGAUGGUUCAUCAUCAUCGCCGCCAUUUGCUGCUGGUAGUAAGGGUUUCCGGCCAUAGCCUGGGGGCCAGCCCCUUGGAAAUAACCACCAGGACCACCGGCGCUCACGGCCGGAAGGCCUUGGACUGCCGGAAGGUUACCCAUUUGACCCAUCUGGCCCAUGGGCAUGUUACCCAUCUGGCCCAUUUGUCCUAUUGGCAUACUCCCCAAAUGGCCCACACUACUACCACCACCACUCAUGCCCAUCAUGUUAGGCAUAACAUGAACUCCAUCAUCCAUUACAACCUUCUUUCCCCCAUUACCAUUAAUGUUGUUACCAC